rnacentral:rRNA from 1 species
UACGUAGGGGGCUAGCGUUGUCCGGAAUCAUUGGGCGUAAAGAGCGUGUAGGCGGUCCGAUAAGUCCGCUGUGAAAGUCCAGGGCUCAACCCUGGAAUGCCGGUGGAUACUGUCGGGCUCGAGUCCGGAAGAGGCGAGUGGAAUUCCUGGUGUAGCGGUGAAAUGCGCAGAUAUCAGGAGGAACACCAAUGGCGAAGGCAGCUCGCUGGGACGGUACUGACGCUGAGACGCGAAAGCGUGGGGAGCGAACAGG